GUAUCCGUCGUCAUUAGUGUUGUAAAGGGGAAGGUGACACCUCCCAUCAAUAUUUGUAACAAUAGCGUUACCAAAAUAAAUUCCUUUAAUGGAUUCUAAAAAGGGAAUAUAUCCUGUCUUCAUCUCAGGGUUAGUGACGAAGGCAUAAAAUGGUGUUACGGAUCGUGGCUCUACACGAAUAUGUUUAGAUUCGGCAAAUGGAAUGCGAGAAUCGUCAUAUUGCAACACUACUACCUCGGCGUAGUGGAAAGAAGCCUCUCCUUUGUUAUUUCGGGAAAGUUUGCAUGCACCGACUAUAUCCCGGGACUGGCGAGAGGUGUCGUUGUCGGAACGGUGCGUGGAAAGGGAAAAGAGAAUCUUAUUCUACAAUAAGGGUGUAUCGCACAGGAGCAAUUGGGAACAUUUAUCUGUAUCUUUAUUUUGUAGCCGGGAACCGGCUGGUGUUUUGUGACACGGGUUUUAAGGAAUAAAUUGUUAUUGAAUUUA